GAUGAACGCUGGCGGCGUGCCUAAUACAUGCAAGUCGAGCGAACAGACGAGGAGCUUGCUCCUCUGACGUUAGCGGCGGACGGGUGAGUAACACGUGGAUAACCUACCUAUAAGACUGGGAUAACUUCGGGAAACCGGAGCUAAUACCGGAUAAUAUAUUGAACCGCAUGGUUCAAUAGUGAAAGACGGUUUUGCUGUCACUUAUAGAUGGAUCCGCGCCGCAUUAGCUAGUUGGUAAGGUAACAGCUUACCGAGGCAACGAUGCGUAGCCGACCUGAGAGGGUGAUCGGCCACACUGGAACUGAGACACGGUCCAGACUCCUACGGGAGGCAGCAGUAGGGAAUCUUCCGCAAUGGGCGAAAGCCUGACGGAGCAACGCCGCGUGAGUGAUGAAGGUCUUCGGAUCGUAAAACUCUGUUAUUAGGGAAGAACAAAUGUGUAAGUAACUAUGCACGUCUUGACGGUACCUAAUCAGAAAGCCACGGCUAACUACGUG
rnacentral:rRNA from 1 species